rnacentral:rRNA from 1 species
AGUGAACGCUGGCGGUAGGCCUAACACAUGCAAGUCGAACGGCAGCACAGGAGAGCUUGCUCUCUGGGUGGCGAGUGGCGGACGGGUGAGGAAUACAUCGGAAUCUACUCUGUCGUGGGGGAUAACGUAGGGAAACUUACGCUAAUACCGCAUACGACCUACGGGUGAAAGUAGGGGAUCUUCGGACCUUGCGCGAUUGAAUGAGCCGGUGUCGGAUUAGCUAGUUGGCGGGGUAAAGGCCCACCAAGGCGACGAUCCGUAGCUGGUCUGAGAGGAGGAUCAGCCACACUGGAACUGAGAAACGGUCCAGACUCCUACGGGAGGCAGCAGUGGGGAAUAGUGGACAAUGGGCGCAAGCCUGAUCCAGCCAUACCGCGUGGGUGAAGAAGGCCUUCGGGUUGUAAAGCCCUUUUGUUGGGAAAGAAAUCCAGCUGGCUAAUACCCGGUUGGGAUGACGGUACCCAAGGAAUAAGCACCGGCUAACUUCGUGCCAGCCGCCGCUGUAA